AAGGAAGAUCUGUACUGCACCCUGGAGGUGGAUUCCUUUGGGUAUUUUGUGAAUAAAGCAAAGACGCGCGUCUACAGGGACACAGCUGAGCCAAACUGGAACGAGGAAUUUGAGAUAGAGCUGGAGGGCUCCCAGACCCUGAGGAUACUGUGCUAUGAAAAGUGUUACAACAAGACGAAGAUCCCCAAGGAGGACGGCGAGAGCACGGACAGACUCAUGGGGAAGGGCCAGGUCCAGCUGGACCCGCAGGCCCUGCAGGACAGAGACUGGCAGCGCACCGUCAUCGCCAUGAAUGGGAAAGAGAAAGCCAGGCACAGUGCACCUAUAGUCUCAGCUACUCUGGAGUCUGAGGCAGGAGAAUCACUGGAACCCAAGAGUUCGAUUACAGCCUGGGCAACAUUGCAAGCUCCUAUAUCUAAAAAAAAGCAAGCAAGCAAGAGAAGCAGCGGGGAUUUUAGGAGGUGCGUCUGCAGAAACCAGUCGUUUACAUCAUCUUCAACAAUCCUGGCUCUUGCUGAAGUAGACUAGGGGCUUCCCCGAGGGGCGGCUCCACCUCAUGCUGAGACCUCUGCAUGCCUUGGGGGUGGAAAUAUUUGAUGAGACUCCCAGGGGUCCUUGGGACCUUGGGCUAUGAGGACCAGAAGGAUUAGAGGACUGUGCCCCUUCUCCCCACUGUAGAUCGAAGUAAAGCUCUCGGUCAAGUUCAACAGCAGGGAGUUCAGCUUGAAGAGGAUGCCAUCCCGAAAACAGACAGGGGUCUUCGGAGUCAAGAUUGCUGUGGUCACCAA
rnacentral:sRNA from 1 species